rnacentral:rRNA from 1 species
GACGAACGCUGGCGGCGUGCUUAACACAUGCAAGUCGAACGGGCCCGCUCUCUUUUUUGGGGGUGGGUUGAGUGGCGAACGGGUGAGUAUCACGUGAGUAACCUGCCCCCUGCUCCUGGAUAACUGCUUGAAAGGGCGGCUAAUACGGGGUGUGCCGGCUGGUCCGCAUGGGCCUGGUCGGGAUAGUUUCAUCUUCGGGUGUUUCGGUGGGGGAUGGGCUCGCGGCCUAUCAGCUUGUUGGGGGGGUGAUGGCCCACCCAGGCGGUGACGGGUAGCCGGCCUGAGAGGGUGGGCGGCCACACUGGGACUGAGACACGGCCCAGACUCCUGCGGGAGGCAGCAGUGGGGGGUAUUGCACAAUGGACGGAAGCCUGAUGCAGCGACGUCGCGGGAGGGAUGGAGGCCUUCGGGUUGGGAACCUCUUUCUCCGGUGGUGAAGGCCCUGUCCGUUGCGGCGGGGUUGACGGUAGCCGGGGAUGAAGCGCCGGCUAACUACGUG